rnacentral:lncRNA from 1 species
GAUUAUGAACCUUUGUUUAGAUUCAACACGAGCCUAGUGUUGAAUCUCGGUCUAGGGAUGGUGAUUGAUUUUAGUUACGCGUUUAAUCACAUUAAGGAGUGUUGUCUUAGGGGCGUGGGACCCUCUACUCCAUUUUCAUGCAUAUCAAAUAAUGCAAGAAAGGAGUACUUCAAAGUAAAGAUGAGCUUAUGCUCUUUACAACAUUUGAAUAAAACAAAUUACUUUAAAGUAAAGAAGAGCUUAUGCUCUUUUACAACAUUUGAUCAAAUCAAAUUACAACAAAAAUCUAAUCUACACAUUCCCAUGGUUCAAACAAAUUUGAAACGGCCUUU